rnacentral:rRNA from 1 species
CCUACGGGGGGCAGCAGUGAGGAAUAUUGGUCAAUGGACGGGAGUCUGAACCAGCCAAGUCGCGUGAAGGAAGACGGCACUAUGUAUUGUAAACUUCUUUUGUCGGGGAACAAAGGCGGAGACGUGUCUCCGGAUGAGUGUACCCGAAGAAUAAGCAUCGGCUAACUCCGUGCCAGCAGCCGCGGUAAUACGGAGGAUGCGAGCGUUAUCCGGAUUUAUUGGGUUUAAAGGGUGCGUAGGGGGGAGAUAAAGUCAGCGGUAAAAUGUCGGGGCUCAACCCCGGCCGGCCGUUGGAACUGGUGUGCUAGAGUUGGAGUGAAGUAUGCGGAAUGCGUGGUGUAGCGGUGAAAUGCAUAGAGAUC